AAUGAGACAUUUAAAGAUCGGGUAAGUCAUUCUGUUGAGAAGAAUCAUAUUUGUACAACAUUUCUUAACAUCCAGACAGAAAUCAAAAUAUUAAAUGACUGGGGGGAAGAAAUCCAUGGUCUCUGGCAGCAACAAGGUUGUAACAGCUUCAUCCAAUCAAUGGACAGACUUCCUGUCAAUCAGUCUGCCCUCACCCCAUCCCCAUAACGUGUGACUGGGUUAUAAUGGACACACUGCUGGAACUAUAGCGGACCGUUUACGACAAGAAUGGCAGAGAAACUACAGCAGCGCUUCUCAUCACCGGCAGUACCUACAGCAGCCGACACAGCUGAACAAAGAAAGAGAAGAAAGACUGAACUCGACAAGGCUACCAAAAAAAAGAAAAGAAGAAGAAGUCAGACAAGCACAAGAAGUAAAACAAGUAACAACAUCAGAGGGGCUGUUCAGCGAUGGCAGCAACUGAUGGCCUGAACACGGACGCCAUGUUAGCUACUGUUUCUGUUGGAUAAUUUGUUAAGAGAGGGAAGCAUUAACUUCCAGCCUUCGGAGCGUCACCAUGUCCCUGAAGUCUGCUCUCCGACAGUUUGUUCGUGUGGCGGGGUUCAGCCGAGGGACCGGAGCCAUCUCGAAGCAGCUGCGCUACUCUUUAAGAGAGGUGGCCUCACAUAGAUGGGUACGAAUCAAUCAGCUAUAAGGAGCACCGUCUGUGUUAUCAGUCUGAUAUGUCAAAAAUGAAAAACAAAUAAAUGACUGACCUCAUUUAAA